AUUGAACGCUGGCGGCAGGCCUAACACAUGCAAGUCGAACGAGUGGCGGACGGGUGAGUAAUGUCUGGGAAACUGCCUGAUGGAGGGGGAUAACUACUGGAAACGGUAGCUAAUACCGCAUACCAUCAGAUGUGCCCAGAAGGGAUUAGCUAGUUGGUGGGGUAACGGCUCACCACGGCGACGAUCCCUAGCUGGUCUGCGAGGAUGACCAGCCACAAUGGAACUGAGACACGGUCCAGGCUCCUACGGCAGGAAGGAGUGGGGCAUAUUGCACAAUGGGCGCGAGCCUUAUGCAGCCAUGCCGAGUGUAUGAAGAAGGCCUUCGGGUUGUAAAGUACUAUCAGCAGGGAGGCGUUACCCGCAGAAGAAGCACCGGCUAACUCCGUGCCAGCAGCCGCGGUAAUUC
rnacentral:rRNA from 1 species